rnacentral:tRNA from 1 species
GGAGGGCUCGCAUAGUGGCCUAGUGCGGCGGUCUUGAAAACCGCUAUGGGUUUGCGCCCAUCGUGGGUUCGAAUCCCACGCCCUCCGCCG